AUGAUAAUUAGUUUAAGCCAAAAACAAAUGAUUUCGACUCA
rnacentral:tRNA from 2 species